CUUUGUAUAGUGUUUGCCUUAGCAACCAAUUAUGUUUAGCAAAGGUGAGUUUUCGGCCACCAGCACCAAUCAAAAUUCUUUGUAAACAACACAUACAACACAUCCCCCUUGGGGUGCCUGGGUG